UACGUAGGGUGCAAGCGUUGUCCGGAAUUAUUGGGCGUAAAGAGCUCGUAGGCGGUCUGUCGCGUCGAAUGUGAAAACCCGGGACUCAACUCCGGGCCUGCAUUCGAUACGGGCAGACUAGAGUUCGGUAGGGGAGACUGGAAUUCCUGGUGUAGCGGUGAAAUGCGCAGAUAUCAGGAGGAACACCGGUGGCGAAGGCGGUUCUCUGGGCCUGUGCUGACGCUGAGGAGCGAAAGCGUGGGGAGCAAACAGG
rnacentral:rRNA from 1 species